rnacentral:rRNA from 1 species
GACGAACGCUGGCGGCGUGCCUAAUACAUGCAAGUAGAACGCUGAAGAGAGGAGCUUGCUCUUCUUGGAUGAGUUGCGAACGGGUGAGUAACGCGUAGGUAACCUGCCUUGUAGCGGGGGAUAACUAUUGGAAACGAUAGCUAAUACCGCAUAACAAUGGAUGACACAUGUCAUUUAUUUGAAAGGGGCAAUUGCUCCACUACAAGAUGGACCUGCGUUGUAUUAGCUAGUAGGUGAGGUAAUGGCUCACCUAGGCGACGAUACAUAGCCGACCUGAGAGGGUGAUCGGCCACACUGGGACUGAGACACGGCCCAGACUCCUACGGGAGGCAGCAGUAGGGAAUCUUCGGCAAUGGGGGCAACCCUGACCGAGCAACGCCGCGUGAGUGAAGAAGGUUUUCGGAUCGUAAAGCUCUGUUGUAAGUCAAGAACGGGUGUGAGAGUGGAAAGUUCACACUGUGACGGUAGCUUACCAGAAAGGGACGGCUAACUACGUGCCACCAGCCGCGGUAAUACGUAGGUCCCGAGCGUUGUCCGGAUUUUUUGGGCGUAAAGCGAGCGCAGGCGGUUUGAUAAGUCUGAAGUUAAGGCUGUGGCUCAACCAUAGUUCGCUUUGGAAACUGUCAAACUUGAGUGCAGAAGGGGAGAGUGGAAUUCCAUGUGUAGCGGUGAAAUGCGUAGAUAUAUGGAGGAACACCGGUGGCGAAAGUGGCUCUCUGGUCUGUAACUGACGCUGAGGCUCGAAAGCGUGGGGAGCGAACAGGAUUAGAUACCCUGGUAGUCCACGCCGUAAACGAUGAGUGCUAGGUGUCGGAUCCUUUCCGGGAUUCAGUGCCGCAGCUAACGCAUUAAGCACUCCGCCUGGGGAGUACGACCGCAAGGUUGAAACUCAAAGGAAUUGACGGGGGCCCGCACAAGCGGUGGAGCAUGUGGUUUAAUUCGAAGCAACGCGAAGAACCUUACCGGGUCUUGACAUCCCGAUGCUAUUUCUAGGGAUAGAAAGUUACUUCGGUACAUCGGUGACAGGUGGUGCAUGGUUGUCGUCAGCUCGUGUCGUGAGAUGUUGGGUUAAGUCCCGCAACGAGCGCAACCCCUAUUGUUAGUUGCCAUCAUUCAGUUGGGCACUCUAGCGAGACUGCCGGUAAUAAACCGGAGGAAGGUGGGGAUGACGUCAAAUCAUCAUGCCCCUUAUGACCUGGGCUACACACGUGCUACAAUGGUUGGUACAACGAGUUGCGAGUCGGUGACGGCGAGCUAAUCUCUUAAAGCCAAUCUCAGUUCGGAUUGUAGGCUGCAACUCGCCUACAUGAAGUCGGAAUCGCUAGUAAUCGCGGAUCAGCACGCCGCGGUGAAUACGUUCCCGGGCCU